UACAUGUGGGGCAAGCGUUGUUCGGAAUUACUGGGCAUAAAGGGUGCGUAGGCGGCUUGUUAAGUCAGGGGUGAAAGUUUUCGGCCCAACCGGAAAAUUGCUUUUGAUACUGGCGAGCUGGAGUGCGUGAGGGGUGACCGGAACGAGUGGUGGUAGCGGUGAAAUGCGUAGAUAUCACUCGGAAGGCCAACGGCGAAGGCAGGUCACUGGUGCGCAACUGGACGCUGAAGCGCGAAAGCUAGGGGAGCAAACGGG
rnacentral:rRNA from 1 species